rnacentral:rRNA from 1 species
CUGCUAGCAACGGAUGUCUUGGUUCUCGCAACGAUGAAGAACGCAGCGAAUUGCGAUAAGUAGUGUGAAUCGUAAGAUUCAGUGAAUCAUCAAAUCUUUGAACGCAAACGGCGCUCUCUGGAACUCCGGGGAGCAUACCUGUUUGAGCAUCAA